AAACCCGGGUGUUUGUGCCAAGAGGAGCAAGAGCGGCCAGGGCAGGACCGGGACCGCCAGGCGCGGGGAGAGCUGCAGGAUCCGAUCGGACGGCCUGUGAACAUGAGGGGUCGGUCACCCGCACCCAGAGACUCAGCCGGGCAGCUAAGGGUCGUGACCCGGAGCGGAUGGAACUAAGGCAGCCAGGCGACCGGCCUAGAUGAAAAGCGGAGAUGCCACCCGGCCCUCGGUGCGGAUUGCAUGGCCACAGCCGGCCAGGAGCACGAUGCCCUGCAGGGGGCGCCAGAGGCCCGCGCUCGCCGCAUCUGGAGCUGGUUAGGGCUGCGCUGCUUGGCGGGCGGCGGCGUGAGCUCAUCCCGGCCGGCCCCGCCUGCGGUUUCCCAGCCGCUGCAAAGCGGACUCCACACAGAAGCGCCGAGAGCCCAGGGAGCUCGGCGCUGCAGCGGCUGCCCCGGGCUGUGGGUGUUGAGCGGGAGAAACUGCAGUGUUGUGUCCCUAGCGCUCGCCCCGUUACACUGAGAGCCUUGAGAGCCAGUUACCAGCAAGUGUCGCUGCUGUCCACCGUGAGUCAUUGGGGUGUGAAACUGGGAUGUGUCUCACCGAGGAAGCAACGCGCGCGUGAUAUGAUAAGCUGCACCCCUCCCCAGAAGCACUUUCUCCUGGUUUUAUUGGAAAAAGCAGCCAGGAGCAUAGAAAAGAUAGAUUAUCUAAUUCAAUUACCAGCCUUAAGCCUGUGCCCCUGAAUGAAUGGCAAAAGGUCCAGGUCAGUCGAGGUGUCCCACAAUGCCUACCUAGGACCUACCUCCAUAUUCAGUCAGGACUCAUACAUAAUCUUAUUCACCGCUUCUUCUGGCCUUCCUGUAACCCCCCAAAAUUCUGCGUUUCAGAAUAUGACGCUAGGAUCGUGGAAAUGACGCACCUGCAAUUGGAUUCUCUCACACAAAAGGGAAACACUCCCGUUCUAGGGGUCUGAGUUGGAGACGCCAACAGGCAGAGUACAAAAUGGUAAUCGCCUGAGGUCCCUAACCCUGCCGGGGGACCAGGAACCACUAAAUUGAAAGUUGCUGAGCCUUGUACCUUAAGGGGGUCUGGGCUGCUUGCAGAGGGUCCUGGAGGUUGCUGCUCAGCACAUGAAGGUUGUCAGGCUCCAGGAAUCUCAUGACCAGAAGUCAUGACAGAGGGAUGAGAGCGAGGGGUUGGGCUGGUGCCUGUGAGCAUCCAGGGCUCUCCUCACCCCGCAACUGACCAUCACCGUCCUCACUGGCCCCAGCUUCUCCAUGUGCACUAGCAACACUGGUCCAUCAGGUCCCCACAUGUGACACUCACGGGCCACCCUGCUCUGACUCACCAUGGGCUACACAGACUAUAAAGGAGUGACCAGCCACAGUGCACAUAGGGGUCUCGAGUACGUAAGACGCUGGUACAAGUUGGAUGAGGGAUUUUU
rnacentral:lncRNA from 1 species